UACGAAGGGUGCAAACGUUGCUCGGAAUACUGGGCGUAAAGCGUGCGCAGGCGGUUAUGUAAGACAGUUGUGAAAUCCCCGGGCUCAACCUGGGAACUGCAUCUGUGACUGCAUAGCUAGAGUACGGUAGAGGGGGAUGGAAUUCCGCGUGUAGCAGUGAAAUGCGUAGAUAUGCGGAGGAACACCGAUGGCGAAGGCAAUCCCCUGGACCUGUACUGACGCUCAUGCACGAUAGCGUGGGGGAUCAAAACAGG
rnacentral:rRNA from 1 species